rnacentral:rRNA from 1 species
GCCAUGGCGGCCGCGGGAAUUCGAUUAGAGUUUGAUCAUGGCUCAGAAUCAACGCUGGCGGCGUGCCUCAGACAUGCAAGUCGAACGAGAAAGUUCCCUUCGGGGAAUGAGUAAAGUGGCGCACGGGUGAGUAACACGUAGGUAAUCUACCUUCGGGUGGGGAAUAACCCAGGGAAACUUGGGCUAACACCGCAUAAUGCAGCGGCACCACAUGGUGACAGUUGUUAAAGCGGGGGAUUUUCGAACCUCGCGCCUGAAGAGGAGCCUGCGGCAGAUUAGCUAGUUGGUAAGGUAACGGCUUACCAAGGCGACGAUCUGUAACCGGCCUGAGAGGGCGGUCGGUCACACUGACACUGACAUACGGGUCAGACUCCUACGGGAGGCAGCAGUCGGGAAUUUUGGGCAAUGGGCGAAAGCCUGACCCAGCAACGCCGCGUGAAGGAUGAAAUCCCUCGGGAUGUAAACUUCGCAAGAACGGGAAGAAUAAGCGAAGGCUAAUACCAUUCGUGAUGACGGUACCGUUUGUAAGCUCCGGCUAACUCCGUGCCAGCAGCCGCGGUAAUACGAAUCACUAGUGAAUUCGCGGCCGCCUGCAGGUCGACCAUAUG